ensembl:lncRNA
CUGGUAUGCCCGCCCACUCCUUCUCCACCUGUCGCUUCACAGUUACCAGCUCAUGAGCCCUCUGUGCCUGGGUCCUCCGCUACUUCAACAUCUGCCCGUUCGGAGCCUCCGGAGCGGUCGCUGCCCGUACCGGAGCUAUUCUCAGGUGGAUGAAAACAUGCAAGCGCGUCGCGGCGCUAGAGACUACAACUCCCAGAAGCCUCUAGGACAAGAGGAGAUGGCCUCUGGCGGAGGUACGGCUAGUGGAAUGGGAAAUCGGGACAGGAAUUAUGAAGACGAGGGUGAGCAACCCAUGCAAAUAGGACGCUCCAGAUUGACGCCGGAGGAGCGACAGUGGCGUUGGAGAGCUGACCCUCUGGACUGUUUCCCCUGGUGUUCCCUGAGCGGCGAGUAUUCGAGUGGAUUCGUGUGUGGAUUGUUUGGAGAGAGACGAGAGUGUUCACCUGGAUUUCCCCCGGAGCCUUGCCCCUCUCACCUAUUGUAUAUAGCACUGCCCUGCACCUUUUGUAUAUACACUCGUUGGACAUUGUACGUUAAUAGAGACCUCCUGCAAGGAUGUAACAACCUCCCCACCAGUUGAAGUUCUGCCAACGCACCAGACGCCCCCCAGGCCAGGGCUGGCGCCCCGCGCAUGCAACCCACCCACAAUCCAGGGACACACCAACUAGGACCCAAGCUCCUGAGGCCCAGCCAGAGCCCCGGCGCUGGCCCGGCGCACCCCCAG